CCCUUAGAUGUUCUGGGCCGCACGCGCGCUACACUGAUGCAUUCAACGAGCCUAUCCUUGACCGACAGGUCCGGGUAAUCUUUGAAUCUGCAUCGUGACGGGCAUAGAUUAUUGCAAUUAUUAAUCUUCAACGAGGAAUGCCUAGUAGGCGCAAGUCAUCAGCUUGCGUCGAUUACGUCCCUGCCCUUUGUACACACCGCCCGUCGCUCCUACCGAUUGGGUGUGCUGGUGAAAUGUUCGGAUCGGCCGUUUGUCGCGGUUUCCGCGUCAUGUGGCUGAGAAGUUCAUUAAACCCUCCCACCUAGAGGAAGGAGAAGUCGUAACA
rnacentral:rRNA from 1 species